CUCUCUUGCUUUGUCUGAGUCAACAACUCUUGCCAGCAGUGCAACACUGAAUCACUACUAGACUCCUUCCUGAAAAGAAAAGAGAACAACAGUUCUGUUUGGUUUUUCCUCAGUAGAGCAAAGAUAGUAAUCACUUAGAUCUUGCAGCACCUGGGUCUUCUGCUCCAGAUGACUAUCAAACACACGCAGCUGCUCGGCUAGCUGGUUACGAACCUCUAAGAAAGAGGAAGAUAUCAGAGAUGAUAGCACACACACACCUGGAAAGGUUGAGUAAGACACUAGGAUGUCACUGGGCGUGGGUAGUGAAGCCCUAGCAUCUGUCUCA